rnacentral:rRNA from 1 species
UGAGGAAUAUUGGUCAAUGGACGAGAGUCUGAACCAGCCAAGUAGCGUGAAGGAUGACUGCCCUAUGGGUUGUAAACUUCUUUUAUACGGGAAUAAAGUGAGCCACGUGUGGCUUUUUGUAUGUACCGUAUGAAUAAGGAUCGGCUAACUCCGUGCCAGCAGCCGCGGUAAUACGGAGGAUUCGAGCGUUAUCCGGAUUUAUUGGGUUUAAAGGGAGCGUAGGCGGGUUGUUAAGUCAGUUGUGAAAGUUUGCGGCUCAACCGUAAAUUUGCAGUUGAUACUGGCGACCUUGAGUGCAACAGAGGUAGGCGGAAUUCGUGGUGUAGCGGUGAAAUGCUUAGAUAUCACGAAGAACUCCGAUUGCGAAGGCAGCUUACUGGAUUGUAACUGACGCUGAUGCUCGAAAGUGUGGGUAUCAAACAGGAUUAGAUACCCUGGUAGUCCACACAGUAAACGAUGAAUACUCGCUGUUGGCGAUAUACAGUCAGCGGCCAAGCGAAAGCAUUAAGUAUUCCACCUGGGGAGUACGCCGGCAACGGUGAAACUCAAAGGAAUUGACGGGGGCCCGCACAAGCGGAGGAACAUGUGGUUUAAUUCGAUGAUACGCGAGGAACCUUACCCGGGCUUAAAUUGCAACUGACGGAACCGGAAACGGUUCUUUCUUCGGACAGUUGUGAAGGUGCUGCAUGGUUGUCGUCAGCUCGUGCCGUGAGGUGUCGGCUUAAGUGCCAUAACGAGCGCAACCCUUGUUGUCAGUUACCAUCAGGUUAUGCUGGGGACUCUACCCGGACUGCCGUCGUAAGAUGUGAGGAAGGUGGGGAUGACGUCAAAUCAGCACGGCCCUUACGUCCGGGGCUACACACGUGUUACAAUGGGGGGUACAGAAGGCAGCUACACGGCGACGUGGUGCUAAUCCCGAAAGCCUCUCUCAGUUCGGAUUGGAGUCUGCAACCCGACUCCAUGAAGCUGGAUUCGCUAGUAAUCGCGCAUCAGCCACGGCGCGGUGAAUACGUUCCC